UACGAAGGGGGCUAGCGUUGUUCGGAAUACUGGGCGUAAAGCGCACGUAGGCGGAUAUUUAAGUCAGGGGUGAAAUCCUGGAGCUCAACUCCAGAACUGCCUUUGAUACUGGCAACCUAGAGGCUGGAAGAGGUUAGUGGAAUUCCCAGUGUAGAGGUGAAAUUCGUAGAUAUUGGGAAGAACACCAGUAGCGAAGGCGGCUAACUGGUCCAGAUCUGACGCUGAGGUGCGAAAGCGUGGGGAGCAAACAGG
rnacentral:rRNA from 1 species